rnacentral:rRNA from 1 species
AUUCCAGCUCCAAUAGCGUAUAUUAAUGUUGUUGCAGUUAAAAAGCUCGUAGUUGGAUUUCUGGUGGGAGCGGCCGGUCCGCCGUAAGGUGUGUACUUGGUUGUCUCCUGUCAUCCUUGUGGGAACUGCUCUGGCAUUAAGUUGUCGGGGUUAGGGAACACAUCGUUUACUGUGAAAAAAUUAGAGUGUUUAAAGCAGGCUUAUGCCGUUGAAUACAUUAGCAUGGAAUAAUAAGAUAGGACUUUGGCGUCUAUUUUGUUGGUUUGCACACCAAGGUAAUGAUUAAUAGGGAUAGUUGGGGGUAUUCGUAUUCAAUUGUCAGAGGUGAAAUUCUUGGAUUUAUGAAAGACGAACUUCUGCGAAAGCAUUUACCAAAGAUGUUUUCAUUG